GAACGCACAUUGCGCCCCUUGGUAUUCCGGGGGGCAUGCCUGUUCGAGCGUCAUUUCAACCCUCAAGCAUUGCUUGGUCUUGGACCGUGCCGGCAACGGCUGGCCUUAAAACUAGUGGCGGUGCCAUCGAGCUCUACGCGUAGUAAUUCUAUCUCGCGUCUGGGUCCCGGUGGACGCUGGCCAGCAACCCCCAAUUUUCUAUGGUUGACCUCGGAUCAGGUAGGGAUACCCGCUGAACUUAAG
rnacentral:misc_RNA from 1 species